AGAGUUUGAUCCUGGCUCAGGAUCAACGCUGGCGGCGUGCCUAAUGCAUGCAAGUCGAACGGGUCGUCCUUCGGGGCGGUCACGUGGCGGACGGGUGAGGAACACGUGGGCAAUCUGCCCUGAGGCAGGGGCUAGCCUCCGGAAACGGAGGGUAAUUCCGUAUGAACUCGGGUCUCGAGUGGGGGAUCUGAGGAAAGGGGCAACCCGCCUUGGGAGGAGCCUGCGGCCGAUUAGCUAGACGGUGGGGUUACGGCCUACCGUGGCGAUGAUCGGUAGCUGGUCUGAGAGGACGAUCAGCCACACGGGGACUGAGACACGGCCCCGACUCCUACGGGAGGCAGCAGCAAGGAAUUUUCCGCAAUGGGCGCAAGCCUGACGGAGCAACGCCGCGUGCGGGAAGACGCGUUUCGGCGUGUAAACCGCUGUUCGUGGGGACGAAGCACUGACGGUACCCACGGAGGAAGGCCCGGCUAACUACGUGCCAGCAGCCGCGGUAAUACGUAGGGGUCGAGCGUUGUCCGGAGUUACUGGGCGUAAAGCGUGCGCAGGCGGCUCAUUGCGCCCGGCGUGAAAGCCCCCGGCUCAACCGGGGAGAGUCGUCGGGGACGGGUGAGCUUGAGGGUCGCAGGGGCUGGUGGAAUUCCCGGUGUAGUGGUGAAAUGCGUAGAGAUCGGGAGGAACACCCGUGGCGAAGGCGGCCAGCUGGGCGACACCUGACGCUGAGGCACGAAGGCGUGGGGAGCGAACGGGAUUAGAUACCCCAGUAGUCC
rnacentral:rRNA from 1 species